CUGGUCACUACAUGUGAAAUGAAGAUAGGAAUCAGAAUACAAAUAUCAGUUUUCUUAUUCUGGAUGACUUAACAUUAAGUAGUAGAUCUUUCCCUUUAUUUUUUUUACACUUUUUUCAAUCACAGUAAGAGGUUGCAACAUAACUGCAUCUUUCAGAAUAUUAAGGAACAUCAGUUACCUAUUCAAUACUGGCAUUCAACACACAUUCACAGUCCUGGAUUACAGCUGAAUGCCAGCGGUACCAAUAAUUAAGGCUGUGUCUGGAUUGUACCUUCAAGCAGACAUAAUGUUAAACUGCCAUACAGGUGAUACCUUGCAGGGAAAAAUCUACAAAAGUGUCUUUAAAAAUAAAUGUAAUCUAAUCUAAUAUUAUAAAAACACUAAAAUGCCUUGAUCGCAAUGUGGAGGUUUCUUACCUGUAACUAGAGGUUCUGAAAGAUCUGUGGUCCCUAUGUCUAUUCCACAAAUGGCAUGCAUAUACUCUAAGCAUCUGAGAUCAGAUAUUUCCAGCAGAUAGUGUCCAUUGGUCCACGCCUGUACUCCACUCAUGCUCUGUACUGAGAUUAGAAAGGACAGUGCGGAACAAAACUUCUUCAGUUCCUUCUCUUUACUGCAAAUCCAGUCAUGAUCCAAAAUAGAGGAGAACAGCAGCAGACAGUUGCAUAGAGAUAGGGACAUAUCUUGAAGAAUCUUCAGAUACAUGUAAAUAACAUGCCUUUCUUCUUUGUGUGGCAGUCUCCACGUGUAUGACUGGUAAGUAGUAUUCAAGGUGGGAGUGAGAGGAUGCAGGAAAUAUAGAUGUCUAACACUGCUGUCUGAAUAGCUGAAUCUGAAGAAGAGUCCGAGACUAAGGCAUAAUCCUUUGUGAAGGCAUCGAUGGAAUUCUAGGUUGUCACCUAACAAAGUACUAGUACUGGUACUUUUCAAAGACAUAUUAUUGAUUUGCAUGUGCUCUAGAAGAGUAAGCCGUCCCACACAGCAAUGGAAGAUGCUACAACUGGUAACAGUGAUAUAACUGGGGCUCCACUUAGAAAAAUCUCUGAGCAGAUCGCAUCUGUCGCUGUGAGUUCUCUCAUAACUAUUUUUGCUGUAAGGUGCUUCCCUGUUUCUUUACAGAUCAAACACUAGAGCCUGUCUGAUGUCAAGAGAAUUAAGUCUUUUAAUUGGAAGCAUGAGGUCUGUGAAGAAAACCAGUCAUCAAUCGGAGGAGAACAGGAGGACGAGAACACCACUUUAUCUGGGGAAGACAAGGAUUGCUGGAAAGAAGACUGGCUGUCUGAGUCUGACUGAGCUGAGGAGAGCACUGCUGGAAGCUCUGUCUUCUGGUGAGGAUGGUAGAAAAGGAACUGAGGGAGACGCACGCCGCAUGUGCAGCUAACGGAUGAAAACAGCUCAAGAUGGCUGUGGUGUGGGAAGGCACUGCUAGGUUAAAAAAAUCUCUGAUCGCUGGCACAAGAACCACUGACACUUGAGUGGAGCAUCCACAGAGACACCACUUGAAAGAGAACUCUUUAAGGAUAAAAGUGUGCUAUUUCCAUAUACAACAAAAUAUGUUAAUUAAAACUGAUUUAGUUAUUUCAGUAAAACUUGUAUAUGAACUAGCCCAAAUCUUGACCUUACCAAAUUUGUGUUCCUUACAAUUUAUGGUAGCUUCUAGAUGAAUUCAGAAUGUUAGCAGAUUUCUUUUACUUUUAGAUUUUAAUAUCAUUAUUUUAUGACUAAAAAAAUUAUUUGAGACAAUCAAAGUGAAAAAAAUGAAUAGCUAAAAAAGGGCAUGUGUAUGAAGAGAAGAGAGGCAAAAAUUCAAUUCUUAGGAAUCACUAAACUCAUCACAAAAACCGGAUAGCUAAGUACAGCAAUAGCUUUCUUAACCCUGCAUUAAAAUAAAACUAAAGCCCCCACAAAAAUGUAAUUCAAUAUAAUGCCUACAUUUUAAAUGUGGA